GUAGUCAUAUGCUNUCUCAAAGAUUAAGCCAUGCANGUCUAAGUACGUGCCGCAUUAAGGCGAAACCGCGAAUGGCUCAUUAAAUCAGUUAUGGUUCCUUGGAUCGUACUUUACUACUUGGAUAACUGUGGCAAUUCUAGAGCUAAUACAUGCAGCAGAGCUCCGACCUCAGGGGACGAGCGCUUUUAUUAGACCAAGACCGAUCGGGCCUCGUGUCCGCGAAACGUGGUGACUCUGUAUAACUUUGGGCUGAUCGCACGGGCUUGUCCCGGCGACGUAUCUUUCAAGUGUCUGCCUUAUCAACUGUCGAUGGUAGGUUACGCGCCUACCAUGGUCGUAACGGGUAACGGGGGAUCAGGGUUCGAUUCCGGAGAGGGAGCCUGAGAAACGGCUACCACAUCCAAGGAAGGCAGCAGGCGCGCAAAUUACCCACUCCCGGAACGGGGAGGUAGUGACGAAAAAUAACAAUACGGGACUCUUUUGAGACCCCGUAAUUGGAAUGAGUACACUCUAAAUCCUUUAACGAGGAUCCAUUGGAGGGAAAGUCUGGUGCCAGCAGCUGCGGUAACUCCAGCUCCAAUAGCGUAUAUUAAAGUUGUUGCGGUUAAAAAGCUCGUAGUUGGAUCUCAGUUCGAGACGGGUGGUCCGCCUACCGGUGGUCACCGCCUGUUCUCAACACCGGCCGGUUUCCCUGGAUGAUCUUCACCGGUUGUCUUGGGUGACCGGCAAGUUUACUUUGAAAAAAUUAGAGUGCUCAGAGCAGGCGCGACGCCUGGAUAAUGGUGCAUGGAAUAAUGGAAUAGGACCUCGGUUCUAUUGUGUUGGUUUUCGGAACACGAGGUAAUGAUUAAGAGGGACAGACGGGGGCAUUCGUAUUGCGACGCUAGAGGUGNNNNNNNNNNNNNNNNNNNNNNNNNNNNNNNNNNNNNNNNNNNNNNNNNNNNNNNNNNNNNNNNNNGGGGCGAAAUUUAGAGGUUCGAAGGGCGAUCAGAUUACCGCCCUAGGUCUAACCAUAAACGAUGCCAGCCAGCGAUCCSGGCUGUGUUUNCCUCAAAUGACACGCCGGGCAGCUUNCGGGGAAACCAAAAGCUUUUUGGGUUCCGGGGGGAGKAAUGGGUUGCAAANGCUUAAACUUAAAGGAANUUGACGGAAGCGCACACCAAGGAAUGGGGNCCUGCGGCUUAAUUUGACUCAACACGGCAAAACUCACCCGGCCCGGACACAGGAAGGNAUUGACAGAUUAAGAGCUCUUUCUUGAUUCUGUGAUAGGUGGUGCAUGGCCGUUUCUAGUUGGUGGAGUGAUUUGUCUGCUUUAUUGCGAUAACGAGCGAGAUUCUAGCCUGCUAAAUAGGCGUUCCGAUCCUUCUCAGUCGGACGUUCUUCUUAGAGGGACAAGCGGUGUUCAGCCGCACGAAACGGAGCAAAAACAGGUCAGGAUGCCCUUAGAUGUUCGGGGCCGCACGCGCGCCACAUUGAAGGAAUCAGCGUGUGCUCUCCAUCGCCGACAGGCGKUGGUAACCCUCUGAACCUCCUUCGUGCUGGGGAUAGGGAAUUGUAACUGUUUCCCUUGAACGAGGAAUUCCCAGUAAGCAUGAGUCAUCAGCUCGUGUUGAUUACGUCCCUGCGCUUUGUACACACCGCCCGUCGCUAUUAUCGAUGAAUGUUGGAGUGAGAUCUUCGGACUGGUGGCCGGACUGGACUAACCUUCGGAGACGGUGUGCCGGGAAAGGAUGACCGGAA
rnacentral:rRNA from 1 species